UAGAGUAUGGUAUUGAAUAAGGUGAGC
rnacentral:sRNA from 1 species